rnacentral:rRNA from 1 species
AACGAACGCUGGUGGCAGGCCUAACACAUGCAAGUCGAACGUGAAGCCACCUUCGGGUGGUGGAAAGUGGCAGACGGGUGAGUAACGCGUGGGAACGUGCCUUUCGGUUCGGGAUAACCCAGGGAAACUUGGGCUAAUACCGGAUACGCCCUCCGGGGGAAAGAUUCAUUGCCGAAAGAUCGGCCCGCGUCGGAUUGGCUAGUUGGUGGGGUAAAAGCCUACCAAGGCGACGAUCCGUAGCUGGUCUGAGAGGAUGACCAGCCACACUGGGACUGAGACACGGCCCAGACUCCUACGGGAGGCAGCAGUGGGGAAUAUUGGACAAUGGGCGCAAGCCUGAUCCAGCCAUGCCGCGUGGGUGAAGAAGGCCCUAGGGUUGUAAACCCCUUUCAGCGGGGAAGAUAAUGACGGUACCCGCAGAAGAAGCCCCGGCUAACUCCGUGCCAGCCGCCGCAGUAA